AGUCGUAACAAGGUUUCCGUAGGUGAACCUGCGGAAGGAUCAUUACCGAGUGAGGGCCCUCUGGGUCCAACCUCCCACCCGUGUUUAUCAUACCUAGUUGCUUCGGCGGGCCCGCCGUCAUGGCCGCCGGGGGGCACCCGCCCCCGGGCCCGCGCCCGCCGAAGCCCCCCUGAACGCUGUCUGAAGAUUGCAGUCUGAGCGAUUAGCUAAAUCAGUUAAAACUUUCAACAACGGAUCUCUUGGUUCCGGCAUCGAUGAAGAACGCAGCGAAAUGCGAUAAGUAAUGUGAAUUGCAGAAUUCAGUGAAUCAUCGAGUCUUUGAACGCACAUUGCGCCCCCUGGUAUUCCGGGGGGCAUGCCUGUCCGAGCGUCAUUGCUGCCCUCAAGCACGGCUUGUGUGUUGGGCCCCCGCCCCCCGGCUCCCGGGGGGCGGGCCCGAAAGGCAGCGGCGGCACCGCGUCCGGUCCUCGAGCGUAUGGGGCUUCGUCACCCGCUCUGUAGGCCCGGCCGGCGCCCGCCGGCGACCCCCCUCAAUCUUUCUCAGGUUGACCUCGGAUCAGGUAGGGAUACCCGCUGAACUUAAGCAUAUCAAUAA
rnacentral:misc_RNA from 1 species